rnacentral:piRNA from 1 species
UGGCUGCCUUGGAAUGUGUUGUCUUGCUGU